AGGACGAACGCUGGCGGCGUGCUUAACACAUGCAAGUCGAACGGAAAGGCCCUUUCGGGGGUACUCGAGUGGCGAACGGGUGAGUAACACGUGGGUGAUCUGCCCUGCACUUUGGGAUAAGCCUGGGAAACUGGGUCUAAUACCGAAUACACCCUGCUGGUCGCAUGGCCUGGUGGGGGAAAGCUUUGGCGGUGUGGGAUGGGCCCGCGGCCUAUCAGCUUGUUGGUGGGGUGAUGGCCUACCAAGGCGACGACGGGUAGCCGGCCUGAGAGGGUGUCCGGCCACACUGGGACUGAGAUACGGCCCAGACUCCUACGGGAGGCAGCAGUGGGGAAUCUUGCGCAAUGGGCGGAAGCCUGACGCAGCGACGCCGCGUGGGGGAUGAAGGCCUUCGGGUUGUAAACCCCUUUCAGCAGGGACGAAGCGAAAGUGACGGUACCUGCAGAAGAAGCGCCGGCUAACUACGUGCCAGCAGCCGC
rnacentral:rRNA from 1 species